GCCUCGUUCGCAAAGGGCCUAAACCACGCUGUGUCUUAUCGUAAUGAUAAUAGGGAGGAACAUCAGGAGCAAAAAAUCUACAAGACGCAAGGCUGAUGACGCCGGAAUACUCCGUCGAAGUGCUAUCUUGGCUUAUAUUUGAGACACCUUGAGAGGAGUACCUGCUCGGCUGCUCUACCAUGGAAGCUCAACGUUCCUCGGUGGCGCGUGCCCAGGCAGCGGCCAUUUCCGAUGGCGUCCUGGACAACGGGCUGCCACUCAGGCGCAC